AAGUGUUAUGUUUUUCUUCCGGAAAAUAAGCAUUGUGGCAUACUGCAAUACGGAUUUAUUUUUUCAAGAUUCAGUUCUGCACCAGCAACUAUAUUAGUGACUUGCGCAUACUCAUACGGCAUCGACGAGACGCUGGUCGUGGGUACCUUAGGGCGGAAAUGACUAAUUCGUUAAUCGUUCGGUUCCACACGGACAAACAAGGAAACAUAUGUUUCGAGAUGGUUCCAUUAUCAUUAAAAAAUAGUAGCUGUUGUACGAGCCAAGGAAUAGUGCCGGGAGCUGGAUAUACGAAAGGGCAAGCGAAAGGGAAUAGUUUCAAGGCCAAGAGGCGUCGCAUCGAGGCGAAAAUGCAGUUUGUUCAUCCGCUGCGUAGGAAAUAGGAUGCGGAUCUCAGAGACAGAGGAUGGAUGGA